rnacentral:misc_RNA from 1 species
GAGUCCACCAACCCACGAGGAAAAACGCCGAAUCCCACCAGAAUUCCCGGCGCGUCGAAAACCACGCGAGAAGAGAGCCCGGGGCGAAAAUCGAGGAGCGAAUUAUCGGAGAGGUUGGCACGCGUGAGUCAAUGUUUGUGUGCCCCACGCGCGUCCACCCGGCAUCGCUCUCGCCUCCAAAAGCUACAUGUUUUUGUUAAUUUAGGUUAGGCUUGGGAAGAGGAAGUACACAAUGAGUUUUGAGUCAUCUAGCAGCCCCAGCUCAGCGCUCCCCGAUGGGGAAACGCGAACAAACCUUAUCAUCAACUACCUGCCACAGACUCUCACCGACCAAGAGUUUUACAAGAUAUUUGUUGUUGUCGGGCCCAUCAAAAACUGCCGCAUUAUGAAGGAUUUAAAGCAGACUGGCUACUCCUUCGGGUUCGGCUUUGUGGAGUACCAGAAGCCUGAGGACGCUGCCAAGGCCAUCCUGCAGUUGAACAACCUCCCUGUGCAGCACAAACGCAUCAAGGUCUCCUACGCCCGGCCCCCCGGCGAGGACAUCAAGGAAACCAACCUCUACAUUCAGAAUAUUCCCAGAAAGGAAACAGACUCCAAGGAAACAAACCUUUACAUUGCGAAUGUUCCAAGAUCAUACACAUUAGACCAGUUAGAGGAACUGUUCUCUUCAUAUGGCCAGAUUGUCCAGAAGAAUUUGCUGAAGGACAAGGUUACAGGACUUCCACGUGGCGUUGGAUUUGUGAGGUUUGAUAAGAAGUCUCAGGCAGAAGCGGCGAUUGUGGGCAUGAAUGGCGUUGUUCCUGAGGGCGGGACUGAGCCCCUAGUGGUUAAGGUAGCAGAGGAGCACGGCAAAAUGAAGGCUGCCUACUACGCUGGUUACCAUGCUGGCCUCAGCACCACGAGAGGUGGCGGCGGUGUCGGUCGAGGGCGUGGUAACUACAACAACCGAGGGGGAGGUGGUGGUGGCUACCAGGGACGAGGGAACUACAAUAAUAUGUAUCAUCACAGGUGGUACUAAGCCGAGGAGUGGAAGGUGAUGCCAGCGCCACCCGCCCCCAUCCUCCUCGCAAGCAGCAGGGUGGUAAGAUAGCCCCGGACCGAACCGCCAACCGCUACAACCCGAUUGGCAGCGGCGGCGGCUAUGGCGGUGGGUACGGAGGUGGGUAUGGCAGUGGCGGGAGUUCCUUGGGCUACUCCAACGAUGCGGCUGGCCAAUCCUCAUUCUACAGCUUCUCCACGCCUUCCUUCAGUGGGGGAAAUUACACAUCGUUCUCCGGCAUGAGUAAUAACUCUGGUGGCGGCGGCUACAGUAGGUACUGAAGCCCAGCCCCGUGUCAAACAACAGCAACAACAACAAAACGUGUUCUAUGAGUGACAAGGGAAAAAAAAAAAAAAAAGAAUGGCUUUCACGCGGGGAGCUCUUUCAAUGAAUGACUAAAAAAAAGGCAAAAAAAUACAAAAAAAUGAGUAAGGAUUAAGUAACACGAUGAAAGAUUAAAACAAAACAAAUAAGGAAUUACACAAAGCAAUUUCAUGUUUUUUGUAGAUGGAAAUACUAAACUAAAAAAGAGGAAAAAUACACAGAGCUAUCAACCUAUUACCAUGGUUUUUAGAGAAAGUUUUUAUCAUCUUAUUUUUGUUGUAAGAGUGUAUUAUGUAUUCUAUGAAGUCACUGUUGGUCAUUUUUCCCACACGAGAAGUGGCAUCGUGCAUAAACCUUCUUAAGAUGUUGCAUCGAUGGCUACAAAAACUAGUUUAAAACUAAACAAAAAAAAAAAAGUUAAGAUGAUAUUGUUUAUACCAUGAAAUAUUCAGGCUUUAUUGUCAUUUCCAGAAAAAAAAUGUGCUAUGCAUUUUAAAUGCUUAGAUCUCUGGUGUAGUUGUCUUCAGAAAUUAUUUUCCUUUUCUGUUUAUUGCACUUUAAAAAAUUUUUGAGCUCUGUUUGUAUUUUAGUAGAAACUGGAAGUCCAUUAUUAUAAUAAAUAAUUUUUUAAAGAGUAUGAUUUUCCAAAAUCCUAAAAUGAGUUAUAUUUUUUUCUUUGAAGUAAAAAGCAAUGCUGAAUGUCACUCAAUUGAGAGAAUUUUUUGCUUUUGAUUUUUCUAGUUUCAUUUUCUUGUUUUAUGUUUCUGUGUGACUAGUGACAGGAAUUGAUGCCACAGCCAGGACUCUGCCUUUGCACCGAAGGGCAGGCGGUUUUUUUCGUUUUGUUUUUAUCUUUUCCGAUGACUUCGUUUGAUUUUUUUGUGAAUAUAUUAACCAACGAAAAUGUCGGACGAGUGUUCUUCAUUAAGUAUUUUAUUCUACUGUGGAUUUCCCUGCGGCAGACACGCACGCCCCUGUUGUUGUCACCGCAGUAGCUAGAUGAUGUCAUUCAUGAUGGUUAUUAUGCUGUAGUAUUAUUCAUAUAACCUAUAAUUACAUAAUUGAUGGUUUCAUGUAUCUUUUUCCAUAUAUUGUGUUCUUUGAUGCUUGAGAAAUAAAAAAAUAAAAAAAAAAUUGAUUUUUUUGGUACAAUAAGGUGUUCUCUAAGUUUUUUCAUUAAAAGUGUUGGACUGAUUAUUUUCUUCAUAAUGUUAUAUUGGUCGGUAGCAACCAUACCUGAACAUAUUGUAAGAUUUUUUUUGUUCUCGAUGAAAAAAAAACUCAACAAAUGUUUUGUACAGUGCAACAUUAUUUUUGCUCACACUGUAAUAAGUUACUUGACAGAUAUAUUUAAUAAAGUGAAACUAUCAA